GACGAACGCUGGCGGCGUGCUUAACACAUGCAAGUCGAGCGGCAAGGCCCUUUCGGGGGUACGACGAGCGGCGAACGGGUGAGUAACACGUGGGUGACCUGCCCUCAGCUCUGGGAGUAAGCCUGGGAAACCGGGUCCUAAUACUGGAUAUGACUCCAUGACGCAUGUUGUGGGGUGGAAAGCCUUGUGCGGCUGAGGAUGGGCCCGCGGCCUAUCAGCUUGUUGGUGGGGUGAUGGCCUACCAAGGCGACGACGGGUAGCCGGCCUGAGAGGGCGACCGGCCACACUGGGACUGAGACACGGCCCAGACUCCUACGGGAGGCAGCAGUGGGGAAUCUUGCGCAAUGGGCGAAAGCCUGACGCAGCGACGCCGCGUGAGGGAUGACGGCCUGGUGU
rnacentral:rRNA from 1 species